UACACACCGCCCGUCACACCAUGGGAGUAGGUUGCACCAGAAGUAGUUAGACUAACCGCAAGGAGGUCGAUUACCACGGUGUGAAUUUAUGACUGGGGUG
rnacentral:rRNA from 1 species